CAUGGACGAAAGUCUGACGGAGCAACGCCGCGUGAACGAUGAAGGCCUUCGGGUCGUAAAGUUCUGUUGUUAGGGAAGAACAAGUACCGUUCGAAUAGGGCGGUACCUUGACGGUACCUAACCAGAAAGCCACGGCUAACUACGUGCCAGCAGCCGCGGUAAUACGUAGGUGGCAAGCGUUAUCCGGAAUUAUUGGGCGUAAAGCGCGCGCAGGUGGUUUCUUAAGUCUGAUGUGAAAGCCCACGGCUCAACCGUGGAGGGUCAUUGGAAACUGGGGAACUUGAGUGCAGAAGAGGAAAGUGGAAUUCCAAGUGUAGCGGUGAAAUGCGUAGAGAUUUGGAGGAACACCAGUGGCGAAGGCGACUUUCUGGUCUGUAACUGACACUGAGGCGCGAAAGCGUGGGGAGCGAACAGGAUUAGAUACCCUGGUAGUCCACGCCGUAAACGAUGAGUGCUAAGUGUUAGAGGGUUUCCGCCCUUUAGUGCUGCAGCUAACGCAUUAAGCACUCCGCCUGGGGAGUACGGUCGCAAGACUGAAACUCAAAGGAAUUGACGGGGGCCCGCACAAGCGGUGGAGCAUGUGGUUUAAUUCGAAGCACC
rnacentral:rRNA from 1 species